UACGUAGGGGGCGAGCGUUGUCCGGAAUUAUUGGGCGUAAAGGGUGCGUAGGCGGUUUUUUAAGUUUGUCGUGAAAGCCCGGGGCUUAACCCCGGUAAGCGAUGAAAACUGGAAGACUUGAGUGAUGGAGAGGAACGUGGAAUUCCUGGUGUAGCGGUGAAAUGCGUAGAGAUCAGGAGGAAUACCAGUGGCGAAGGCGACGUUCUGGACAUUAACUGACGCUGAGGCACGAAAGCGUGGGGAGCAAACA
rnacentral:rRNA from 1 species